CCUACGGGAGGCUGCAGUGGGGAAUAUUGCACAAUGGGCGCAAGCCUGAUGCAGCCAUGCCGCGUGUGUGAAGAAGGCCUUCGGGUUGUAAAGCACUUUCAGCGGGGAGGAAGGCGGUGAGGUUAAUAACCUCAUCGAUUGACGUUACCCGCAGAAGAAGCACCGGCUAACUCCGUGCCAGCAGCCGCGGUAAUACGGAGGGUGCAAGCGUUAAUCGGAAUUACUGGGCGUAAAGCGCACGCAGGCGGUCUGUCAAGUCGGAUGUGAAAUCCCCGGGCUCAACCUGGGAACUGCAUUCGAAACUGGCAGGCUAGAGUCUUGUAGAGGGGGGUAGAAUUCCAGGUGUAGCGGUGAAAUGCGUAGAGAGCUGGAGGAAUACCGGUGGCGAAGGCGGCCCCCUGGACAAAGACUGACGCUCAGGUGCGAAAGCGUGGGGAGCAAACAGGAUUAGUACCCGGGUAGUC
rnacentral:rRNA from 1 species